rnacentral:rRNA from 1 species
AAGAAAAGCCGCUAGCGAGACUGUAGGUGCCCGUACCGUAAACCGACACAGGUAGAUGAGGAGAGAAUCCUAAGGUGAGCGAGAGAACUAUUGUUAAGGAACUCGGCAAAAUGACCCCGUAACUUAGGGAGAAGGGGUGCUCUGGAAACAGAGCCGCAGUGAAAUGUCCCAGGCGACUGUUUACCAAAAACACAGGUCUCUGCUAAAGCGAAAGCUGAAGUAUAGGGGCUGACGCCUGCCCGGUGCUGGAAG